rnacentral:rRNA from 1 species
UACAGAGGUCUCAAGCGUUGUUCGGAUUCAUUGGGCGUAAAGGGCGCGUAGGCUGCGGGGCAAGUCGGGUGUGAAAUCUCAGAGCUCAACUCUGAAACUGCACUCGAUACUGCUUUGCUUGAGGACUGGAGAGGAGAUUGGAAUUCACGGUGUAGCAGUGAAAUGCGUAGAUAUCGUGAGGAAGACCAGUGGCGAAGGCGGAUCUCUGGACAGUUCCUGACGCUGAGGCGCGAAGGCCAGGGGAGCAAACAGG